CAAAAUUAAUAUAUUUUAGGGGAGGUUAUUUUCCGGCGGUUUUUGAAACCCCUAAAAUUUCCGGCGGUUUGAAACUUAAACCGCCCCUAACAUUUAAAAUUUUUAUUUUUAAAAUAAUUUUUCCGCGCCUUCAUUCCUUUUGCGUUUUUCUCCCAAACCCUAGUCCCUUCCCGCUGCCCACAUUUCCCCCAAACCACUAUCUUCAUUUCCUUGUUGCCUUCAUUUUCUCCCAAACCACAAUUUUCAUUUUGCUGCACCAGAAGCACCAUCUCAAUCUAGCCGUUCUUCGCCACCGCUGCCGGAAGCUUAAUUCCACUUUCCGCUGCUCCUCUUCCUUCUCCGAGAGGCAUCACACAAACUCCCCAACUGCGUUGACGUCGUCGAGCUUCCUAUCUUCCCUCUCCCUCUGGUGCCCUUCCCCGGCAUCAUCCUCCCUUUGCAGAUCUGGACAGGCUGGCCACCGAGGUGGAGACCAACAUGAAGGACGUUAUCCGGUUAUCCAACUGGUUGGGAGGGAAACCAGAGAAGGAGGUUGGGGAUUUGAGAAGAAACCUGUUUCCAACGACAUUCUCGUUCUUCGUUGGCAGCACCUUCGAAGGCGCGCCAAGGUGCAAAAUGAAGCUCGUUCUUGUCGCGCUCAGUGAGUGUUCAUUGUUCUGGAGUUCAUUUGUUGUUGUUUCCUCUGACUCAGAGUUCUGCAUUUUGGAAAGAUUCAGAGUAGUAUUGAGUUUGGCUAUUCCAAGGUGUUUAUGUCUUUUGUCGCUACUGCUAAAGCUUUUCAGAAAAGAGAAAGUUUUAGAGGCCAUCGUUCUAAUCAAAUUCAGGUUUUGAGGUGCUUGAAGGUGUGGAUCCUAUGAGGAAAACCAAGAUGUGAACCAUUUAGUAUUGCUUUGGUGCCAGACGAGCAAAUUUUUGAACUAGAAUCAGCCUGGUUUGGAUAAGUGUGAAAACCAGAUGAGGAUAUUAUUCUUACAGGGUUGGUGGAUCUGGCAUAGAGAUGAGGAGCAAAGAAAGGGUAUGAAUAUGCACCUCUUUUUUGUUUCAAUGCAGACAUACAAUAAAACUUGCUCUAUAUAGUGGAUUCUUAAUUCACUGCAGGUUUCUUCUCUCUUACGGGAAGGAUUCUAGUCCAUGGGAAGGCUGAAUGAGCAUGUUAACCUUGAGUCCAUGGUGGAAAUUUGGAGAAGCAAGUGUUUGGUGGUGGAUUGGAAUUCACACUGCAUGUGAUGACCCAUGAUGAUGCACGGGGAUCUGAUCAAGGAAGUGUGCCAAACAAUGAAGAAGAAGAAAAUUAGAUAUUGUUAUUGAAUAUCUUUGAGUCAUAUUUUUAGUAUUGAACAUUUGUAUUGAAUAUAUGUAUUAAACAUCUAUAUUGAACAAAUGUAAUGAACAUCUUUCCUUUUAAUUUUUCUGUUUGUAAGUGAUAGUUGUUAAUUUGGUUUGAAUUUACUUUAAGGAGUUUUUGAAUGGAAUUACUGUAGUAUUGAGUUAUCAUGGUGUUCAAGAGAAUAUGGUGAGAUACACAAGGUAAUUGAUAACUUUUGUUCUCUUAUUGGGUAA